rnacentral:rRNA from 1 species
UACGGAGGAUGCGAGCGUUAUCCGGAUUUAUUGGGUUUAAAGGGUGCGUAGGCGGGCUUUUAAGUCAGCGGUAAAAAUUCGGGGCUCAACCCCGUCGAGCCGUUGAAACUGGGUGUCUUGAGUGGGCGAGAAGUACGCGGAAUGCGUGGUGUAGCGGUGAAAUGCAUAGAUAUCACGCAGAACUCCGAUUGCGAAGGCAGCGUACCGGCGCCCAACUGACGCUGAAGCACGAAGGCGUGGGUAUCGAACAGG